AAGUUAAUACAAAAUUUAUUUCUCACCUUACACGGGCACAACAUACACCGUCAGCGGCGGUAACUGUCCAAGUUUCUCAUGCAUUAAUUACAAUCCUUCAAUGUGUGCACACAUCCACACGGUAAUCAGACUCAUCCCAGACCCGGUGUAGCAUGUCUUCUGUAAUGGCCUGCAGUGCAGGCGUUAUCCGAUCACGAAGUUCAUGGAUGGACGUGGGCAAUGGUGGUACAUAAACGCUGUCUUUAACGAACCCCCAAAGAAAGAAAUUGUACCGUGUAAGAUCUGGUGAACGGGGUGGCCAAGGAAGAAGGUUGUUGUCUCCAUUUGCAGCAGCACGUCCGAUCCAGCGCUGUGGAAAAACACGAUUGAGAAGCACUCGUACAUUCCUGUGAAAAUUGUGGGGGGAGCUCCGUCCAGUUGUAGAAUGUAAUCAUCAUAAUUGGUAUUCAGUUGGGGUAACAACCAGCUUUCCAACUUUUGAAACCGCACCAUUCUUUUGUGUAUACCCUGUACUUCUACCAGAUUACCCAGCCCACCAAGAAGACAGCUAGCCAUCUUCAUAUUUGUUGCUGUGAGAAACUAAAAUCUCUCUUAUAAAUCCUUAUUUGUAAAAAUAUCGUACUAAUAAAAUUCAGUGCAGUUUUUCAUUGCUAAAUUUUAAAUCUGUUGACUUAUUUUUACAUGUCAUUUUCUCAGAACUUUCGAAAAGUAUGUUGUAACUUGUCUGAUUUCUGGGACAGCGUAUGUUGUGAUGUAUGAUGGAUUCUAUCACAGUUGAUGAGAAAAAUUCCACUCUUCAUAAGUGGAGGACAGACAAUAUACCAUAUAUAAGAACUUGGUAUGUAGUUAAUGUAAUGUGUGAAUCCCUUGGAGAUAGCAAAAAUGAUUGCAGAAACGUGGUGACUACCAUGACAUGAAUACACGGAUCCUCCAAUUCUGUUGUGUUUGCAUUCCAAAGUGUGAUUGAUGUGGGAUAGUGAUUACCGUCUUUACCGUCUGAGCUCUUGGCAGUGGUUGUGAUGCAGGGUCUCUUCGUAGUAGUUUUACGCCAUCUGCCGAUAGAUGCCAGCGCAGUGUAGAUUCCAGAUAAUUCAGCAAAAAAUUAUGUAACAAUUUAAACACUUCGGCAAAAUAAUUAUCUGAAAAAAUUUAAAAAAAUUGGUUACAGGGCCAAGGUGCAUUCGAAAACAGAAACAGAAGGAAUAAACAGUUCAGGACCUUUAGCACGAUAUACACAAUUAAACAAAAGAGAAACGCUGUCGGGCGGAAGUCGAUUUUAUAUGUGAAAUUAGCGAAUAAUUGUGACGGAAUAUCGCAUGGAAUUACAGAUCCACCAAUCGAAGACAAAAUGGAGCACAGAGUACGAGAUAGACGAAGGGGAUCCAUGGAAGAGGAAUUUAAAUUAUGUACAGCAGGAGUCGGCAAUAAUUUUAUUACUGUGGCAUCAUUGGUCAUUACCAAAGGAAUUUGGUCGGUUGGUUGUUGUGUCGCUGAUUACAAAAUUGCUACUAUGGAACACAGCUCGUCCUACGUUCCUCCUGUAACAAAACACACGACUCUAAUUGCAGCCAAUUAAACGUAUAACAGUGUCACAUAACAAGUGGAUUUAACUAAUCGUAUUGCAGCCCCGAUGCUGUGUAUUUGCCUAGCUGAGAGGAGUAUUAUGAAGGAGACUCAGUUCAACUGAGCCUUUGCUGUAGAACCAACCUUACCUCGAAAGGAAUGGAUAACUCUUGUUGAUCAACAUGUAACUGUCUGCGGUGUUGGUGGAUCAAGUGGAACCAGAAACAGGGCCAGAUGUCGAUCAGUAAAGACUGUUCAUCAUCGGGUUUGUACACUUCAAUGACUUUGGCUUCAACUGCGGAAAACGUCGCUUAUUAGUGAUGUGAAGAAGUGUGAUUUUGUGAGGAGAAGCAAGGAGCUUUGAAGGUUCCUGAGCCCUGCUGUCUGCAGAAUGAUGACCUAACCACGUGACUCUCUCCAUUCAGCAACACCAACGAAGG